UACGAAGGGGGCUAGCGUUGCUCGGAAUCACUGGGCGUAAAGCGCACGUAGGCGGACUCUUAAGUCGGUGGUGAAAUCCUGGAGCUCAACUCCAGAACUGCCUUCGAUACUGAGAGUCUCAGAGUCCGGGAGAGGUAAGUGGAACUCCGAGUGUAGAGGUGAAAUUCGUAGAUAUUCGGAAGAACACCAGUGGCGAAGGCGGCUCACUGGCCCGGUACUGACGCUGAGGUGCGAAAGCGUGGGGAGCAAACAGG
rnacentral:rRNA from 1 species